GCUUCUGGAUCGAGAACACGGAAUUCUCUGAUCCCAAGUGCCUAUAAUGCAUGUCACCACUGUCUGUUCUCCCUGUGAAUUAGAAAGAAAGAGAUAGAGAAUGCGAGCGAGCAAGCAGCAUACAGGGAUCCAGAUCUACAACAUGGAUGGCUCCAGGGAUACCUCACCAGUCUUGCAUUGACCAUCCCCAGUGUCUCUCAUCCAAUGACCUCAACCUCUGGAAGAAGCCACAAGAGGGAAUGCCUUUCACCUCUGAUCUCACAUACCGCCUUUCCUUCUCAUCAUGAAGAGGGCGGAGUCGACUGAAGCAGCAGAGGCUCAAGGAGGUGAAGUGAGACACCAUAGCUGUGUGCCCUUGGGGAAAAGCAUGCCCUCAGGAAGGCCUUCUGUGCUGGCCACUGCGGGGGCUCACAGAUCUGGGAAGUUGCAAGGGGGCCCCACCCAGAGACAACAGAGACAUUUAUUCUCGGGAACAACAAAACCUGAUGAGGCCGCUUAUAUGACAAUAAAGACCAUACAGCCUUUCCGUUUCCUAUAAAAAAAGAAGCAGGCAAGAAAAUGAGAAUUUACAGAGCCAUCUUUGUGCACGAAUAUACAGCCUGCAUCUCUUUUCUUUAACAUUUCUUGGAAGAGAAUGAGUCAUCUAAACAUUGCAGGAAACCAAAUAGAAGU